rnacentral:rRNA from 1 species
GGACUACACGGGUAUCUAAUCCCGUUUGCUCCCCUAGCUAUCGCGCAUCAGCGUCAGUAUCAGGCCAGAAACGCGCCUUCGCCACCGGUAUUCCUCCAGAUAUCUACGCAUUUCACCGCUACACCUGGAAUUCUCGUUUCCUCUCCUGUACUCGAGCCAAGCAGUAUGAGAUGCAUGUCUCCGGGUGAGCCGGAGCCUUUCACAUCUCACUUACCUGACCGCCUACGCGCCCUUUACGCCCAGUGAUUCCGAACAACGCUUGCUCCCCCCGUAUUACCGCGGCGGCUGGCAC